rnacentral:misc_RNA from 1 species
GAUGAAGAACGCAGCGAAAUGCGAUAAGUAGUGUGAAUUGCAGAAUUCAGUGAAUCAUCGAAUCUUUGAACGCACAUUGCGCCCCUCGGCAUUCCGUGGGGCAUACCUGUUCGAGCGUCAUUUCAACCAUCAAGCCCCCGGCUUGUGUUGGGGACCUGCGGCUGCCGCAGGCCCUGAAAACCAGUGGCGGGCUCGCUAGUCACUCCGAGCGUAGUAAUACAUCUCGCUCAGGGCGUGCUGCGGGUUCCGGCCGUUAAAAAGCCUUAUUUACCCAAGGUUGACCUCGGAUCAGGUAGGAAGACCCGCUGAACUUAAGCAUAUCAAUAAGCGGAGGA